rnacentral:rRNA from 1 species
UGUCUUUAUGGCAAAUGUGAGAUGCAGUGUAUGGAAUGUCAAAUUUCUAGUAUGAUAAAUUAACGAUUUAAGUCCUUCUUAAAUGAGGCCAUUUACCCACAGAGGGUGCCAGGCCCGUAUAACGUUAAUGAUUAUUAGAUGACAUUUCCAAAGAGUCGUGUUGCUUGAUAGUGCAGCACUAAGUGGGUGGUAAACUCCAUCUAAAACUAAAUAUAACCAUGAGACCGAUAGUAAACAAGUACCGUGAGGGAAAGUUGAAAAGAACUCUGAAUAGAGAGUUAAAUAGUACGUGAAACUGCUUAGAGGUUAAGCCCGAUGAACCUGAAUAUCCUUUAUGGAAAAUUCAUCAUUAUGAUUUUAAUAUUUAAAAAAAUAUUAUAAUAAUGGUGUGCAUUUUUUCCAUAUAAUGGACAUUGUAAUCUAUUAAUAUUAUUAUAUAAUAUUUAUCAUAAGAUCAAUUAGCUUUUAGUUUAUUCAAAUUAUUUUGCUUUUGCAUUUUAACAUAGAAUAAAUGCUUUUGAUUUGAUAAAGUAUUGAUAGAUUUAUUAUAUAUAGUGCUUGAAUA